rnacentral:rRNA from 1 species
GACGAACGCUGGCGGCGUGCUUAACACAUGCAAGUCGAACGGAAAGGCCCUGCUUUUGUGGGGUGCUCGAGUGGCGAACGGGUGAGUAACACGUGAGUAACCUGCCCUUGACUUUGGGAUAACUUCAGGAAACUGGGGCUAAUACCGGAUAGGAGCUCCUGCUGCAUGGUGGGGGUUGGAUAGUUUCGGCGGUUGGGGAUGGACUCGCGGCUUAUAAGCUUGUUGGUGGGGUAGUGGCUUACCAAGGCUUUGACGGGUAUCCGGCCUGAGAGGGUGGCCGGCCACAUUGGGACUGAGAUAGGGCCCAGACUCCAACGGGAGGCAGCAGGGGGGAAUAUUGCACAAUGGGCGGAAGCCUGAGGAAGCAACGCCGCGUGCGGGAUGACGGCCUUCGGGUUGUAAACCGAGUUCGCCUGUGACGAAGCGUGAGUGACGGUAAUGGGUAAAGAAGCACCGGCUAACUACGUG